rnacentral:rRNA from 1 species
UCAUGAUAUUUCGAAUCGCAUGCUUAUGCCGGGAUGGUCAUCCAAAUUCUGCCUAUCACUUUCGAUGGUAGGAUAGAGGCUACAUGGGUGGGUAACGGGUACGGAGAUUGGGUCGAUUCCGGAGAGGGAGGCUGAGAAACGGCUACCACGUCCAGGAAGGGCAGCAGGCGCCGCAAAAUUUACCCAAUGCUGAUACAGCGAGGUAGCGACAAUAAAUAACAAUCCAGAACUUUCGAGUUUUGAAUUGGAAUGAGAACAAUUUAAAUCCCUUAACGAGGAUCAAUUGGAGGGCAAGUCUGGUGCCAGCAGCCCGCGGUAAUUCCAGCUCCAAUAGCGUAUAUUCAAGUUGUUGCAGUUAAAAAGCUCGUAGCUGAAUUUUUGGAUCUUGGCUCGGAGGUCUAGCCGUUAGGUUAGUAACUUUUGUAGUUGGAUCUUUCCUUCUAGGGAUCCAGCGUGCGCUUUACUGAGUGCGUUGGGGAUCUAGGGACUGUUACUUUGAAAAAAUUAGAGUGUUUAAAAACAGGCUUACGCUUGAAUACAUUAGCAUGGAAUAAACGGGAAUAGGGACUUUUUUUCUUUUUUUUUAAA